rnacentral:rRNA from 1 species
CGCCUCUUGAUAAAUUAUAAGAGGUCCAGCCUGCCCAGUGACUUAGUUAAACGGCCGCGGUACCCUGACCGUGCGAAGGUAGCAUAAUCACUUGUUCUUUAAAUAAGGACUAGUAUCAACGGCAUCACGAGGGUUACACUGUCUCCUCCCUCCAAUCAGUGAAACUGAUCUCCCCGUGAAGAAGCGGGGAUAAAAAUAUAAGACGAGAAGACCCCAUGGAGCUUUAAACCCAACAACAACCUCUAUGCACAUCCCCCUGAUAAAUGCAGAGGCACUGUCUGUUGGUUUUAGGUUGGGGUGACCGCGGAGUAAAACUUAGCCUCCACGAUGAACGGGAUUAACCCCUAAUCCAAGAGCCACCGCUCUAAGAAUCAACAAAUUGACGUGAAAUGAUCCGACAAUCGAUCAACGAACCAAGUUACCCUGGGGAUAACAGCGCAAUCCAUUUCAAGAGCUCCUAUCGACAAAUGGGUUUACGACCUCGAUGUUGGAUCAGGGUAUCCCAGUGGUGCAGCCGCUACUAAAGGUUUGUUUGUUCAACAAUUAAA